UGUAUAAUAUAUCAGCUGACAUACAAAUGUCAGAUGUUAUUUGCAGCAAAUGUCAUAUAUACUGUACAGUUAUUUUCGGUGUUUUUCUGAAACCAAUGGAGGAUAUCUCUGCCAUGCUGCCUUUAAGCUUAGUUGAAUCUUAUUGCUAUUCUCUCCUUGUAUUUUGCUUAUCAGUUCUACUUCCUCUAUUUAUUAAUUAUUGGUUAAUCUUUCUUCCAGGACUUUUGUGGGGACAAAUUUAAGUCCUUUGUGGGAAAGGUUCCUGGCUCCAUCAGAAGGUAAUCUAACACCUGACUUUCAAAAUGAAGCUGCUUUGAUGUCCAAUAAAAUUAUCAAGAAAGGAUCAAGGGGAUGGGGGUUGAGUUAUUGAAAAUUUAAGGCAGUAGGAGGGUAGCUGUCUUCGGUUUCCUUGCUUGGAUGCAGUGGAGUUUCCCUUUGUGUCUGAAAAUAUGUAGAUCUCGCUCUUCUCUCUGUUCCCAAGUACAGGAGAUAUUACUGGAUCCUGAAAUCAUUAGCCAUUUGGGAACUUGAGCAUUCAUCAUCGUAUAGCUGUCCAAUUCCAUAACUCUUAGUACAGUAACCCAAUAACAGAGGCGCUCCAAUCUUCAUUCAAGUUAUAACUGUUUUAGGUCCUGCCUUCCUCCUUUGUACCUUGUUUGAAUUGGAUUGUGUUCCAUUUUUUAAUCAGAAAAUAUUCAGAAAGGGUAAAGGAUGUAAAAUUGUUGCCUUUUUUAUGCCUCAAUUGUCAUGUAGGUUCAUAGAAUUGCUAAACAAGGGAAUAAGAAACAAGGAGUAGUAUUGCAUA